CGAGCUCCGUGGAGCCGCGUGACAAGUUUGUUGACUGUUCCUUUCGACGGCGUUUCCUGCAAUUAACGAGAAGUAAACGGUAAAAGUGCCGGUGGUGCCAUGUGACGGCCAGCAGGGGGCGCUGGACUCUGGCGCACAGUCAGCAGGCAGACCUCUGAUUGCUUCCAGUUGUGGGACCCGCCAGGAUCGGAAUCACCUGGGGCACCGGAUGGCGUCGGGGGGCUUGCGCAGGAGACAGAGAAAUAGAAUAUGAGCUCUCCUCCAGAAACGCACAUGCACGGCUUAGUUGUAACACAGCACCGAGCGCAGCUGAUCACAGGUAGUUUCAGAGUUAAGGUCAUAUCAGUUAAGGUUAAAAGAUCAUGGUUCAUUUCUAUUUUAUUUUGGAUUUUAAAUUUUGGAUUUGACUACGGGCAUAUACUUUAGGGCAGCGUUGCUGAAGGCGUGUUCCUUCCCAUGAAGCACAGGGAAUAUGCAAGUGAUGGAGCUUUCAU